ACAAUGGGCGCAAGCCUGAAUCCAGCAAUGCCGCGUGGAUGAUGAAGGCCUUCGGAUUGUAAAGCUCUUUCGGCGGGGACGAUNAUGACUGGUACCCGCAUGAAGAAGCCCCGGCUAACUUCGUGCCAGCAGCCGCGGUAAUACGAAGGGGGCUAGCGUUGCUCGGAAUNACUGGGCGUAAAGGGCGCGUAGGCGGAUUGUUUUGUCNGGUGUGAAAUUCCAGGGCUUAACCUUGGGGGGUGCCUUCGAGACGGGCAGUCUAGAGUUUGGCAGAGGGUACGUGGAAUUCCCAGUGUAGAGGUGAAAUUCGUAGAUAUUGGGAAGAACCCCGGUGGCGAAGGCGGCCACCUGGUCCCUGACUGACGCUGAGGCCCGAAAGCAGUGGGGAGCAAACNGGAUUAGAUACCCCUGGAUAGUCCNACGCUGUAAACGAAGUGCGCUGGAUGUUGGGACCCCUAGCCGUUCAGUGUCGUAGCUAACGCGNUAAG
rnacentral:rRNA from 1 species